UACGGAGGGUGCGAGCGUUAAUCGGAAUUACUGGGCGUAAAGCGCACGUAGGCGGUUUGUUAAGCUGGAUGUGAAAGCCCCGGGCUCAACCUGGGAAUUGCAUUCAGAACUGGCAGGCUAGAGUACGGUAGAGGUGAGUGGAAUUUCCUGUGUAGCGGUGAAAUGCGUAGAUAUAGGAAGGAACAUCAGUGGCGAAGGCGACUCACUGGACUGAUACUGACGCUGAGGUGCGAAAGCGUGGGGAG
rnacentral:rRNA from 1 species